rnacentral:lncRNA from 1 species
CUUCCACAUGUAUAGGGCUGAGCAUCCAGGGAAAUAAACCCUUUGUCUAUCCUGUACCACUUUAUCUGCAUCAGGGCAGUGAGCCCUCUCUCCGGGUGCCUGGCCCACCUCCUCCAGGCUCU